rnacentral:snRNA from 1 species
UUACUCUGCCAGUAAGUAUACUCAAAUUGGAUAGACACAAAGAAAAUUAGCAUAGCCCUAGAUGAAACUCUCUGGAAUGCUUUACUCCCCUUCUUC